rnacentral:rRNA from 1 species
UCGAACGGUAGCACAGAGAGCUUGCUCUCGGGUGACGAGUGGCGGACGGGUGAGUAAUGUCUGGGAAACUGCCUGAUGGAGGGGGAUAACUACUGGAAACGGUAGCUAAUACCGCAUAAUGUCGCAAGACCAAAGAGGGGGACCUUCGGGCCUCUUGCCAUCAGAUGUGCCCAGAUGGGAUUAGCUAGUAGGUGGGGUAACGGCUCACCUAGGCGACGAUCCCUAGCUGGUCUGAGAGGAUGACCAGCCACACUGGAACUGAGACACGGUCCAGACUCCUACGGGAGGCAGCAGUGGGGAAUAUUGCACAAUGGGCGCAAGCCUGAUGCAGCCAUGCCGCGUGUAUGAAGAAGGCCUUCGGGUUGUAAAGUACUUUCAGCGGGGAGGAAGGUGUUGCGGUUAAUAACCGCAGCAAUUGACGUUACCCGCAGAAGAAGCACCGGCUAACUCCGUGCCAGCAGCCGCGGUAAUACGGAGGGUGCAAGCGUUAAUCGGAAUUACUGGGCGUAAAGCGCACGCAGGCGGUCUGUCAAGUCGGAUGUGAAAUCCCCGGGCUCAACCUGGGAACUGCAUUCGAAACUGGCAGGCUGGAGUCUUGUAGAGGGGGGUAGAAUUCCAGGUGUAGCGGUGAAAUGCGUAGAGAUCUGGAGGAAUACCGGUGGCGAAGGCGGCCCCCUGGACAAAGACUGACGCUCAGGUGCGAAAGCGUGGGGAGCAAACAGGAUUAGAUACCCUGGUAGUCCACGCCGUAAACGAUGUCGAUUUGGAGGUUGUGCCCUUGAGGCGUGGCUUCCGGAGCUAACGCGUUAAAUCGACCGCCUGGGGAGUACGGCCGCAAGGUUAAAACUCAAAUGAAUUGACGGGGGCCCGCACAAGCGGUGGAGCAUGUGGUUUAAUUCGAUGCAACGCGAAGAACCUUACCUGGUCUUGACAUCCACAGAACUUUCCAGAGAUGGAUUGGUGCCUUCGGGAACUGUGAGACAGGUGCUGCAUGGCUGUCGUCAGCUCGUGUUGUGAAAUGUUGGGUUAAGUCCCGCAACGAGCGCAACCCUUAUCCUUUGUUGCCAGCGGUUAGGCCGGGAACUCAAAGGAGACUGCCAGUGAUAAACUGGAGGAAGGUGGGGAUGACGUCAAGUCAUCAUGGCCCUUACGACCAGGGCUACACACGUGCUACAAUGGCGCAUACAAAGAGAAGCGACCUCGCGAGAGCAAGCGGACCUCAUAAAGUGCGUCGUAGUCCGGAUUGGAGUCUGCAACUCGACUCCAUGAAGUCGGAAUCGCUAGUAAUCGUAGAUCAGAAUGCUACGGUGAAUACGUUCCCGGGCCUUGUACACACCGCCCGUCACACCAUGGGAGUGGGUUGCAAAAGAAGUAGGUAGCUUAACCUUCGGGAGGGCG